UGGGGAAUAUUGGACAAUGGGCGCAAGCCUGAUCCAGCAAUGCCGCGUGGAUGAAGAAGGUCUUCGGAUUGUAAAGUCCUUUCGGCGGGGACGAUGAUGACGGUACCCGCAGAAGAAGCCCCGGCUAACUUCGUGCCAGCAGCCGCGGUAAUACGAAGGGGGCUAGCGUUGCUCGGAAUGACUGGGCGUAAAGGGCGCGUAGGCGGAUGUCUUAGUUGGGCGUGAAAGUCCUGGGCUUAACCUGGGGAUUGCGUUCGAUACGGGAUGUCUAGAGUUGGGCAGAGGGUCGUGGAAUUCCCAGUGUAGAGGUGAAAUUCGUAGAUAUUGGGAAGAACACCGGUGGCGAAGGCGGCGACCUGGUCCUUGACUGACGCUGAGGCGCGAAAGCGUGGGGAGCAAACA
rnacentral:rRNA from 1 species